UGAACAGUGGUUCUCAAAUGAUAGGAGCAUGUGGGCCACAACAGAUGCUACUAUUAAUCAUAAGCAACCUGUUCAUGAGAAUGGAAAAAAGUCCAUCCAGAUGUGUAUAUAUUUCCUUGUUUGGGAAGGAGCUGGUGUCUGGCGACUGAAUGGAGAAGGGAAACUGUGUGUGGACAGACAAAGUAGGACAAAUGGGACAGGAUCAGCAUUUGAAAUGAUUUGCAUUGUGAUUAGUGAUGCAUAUGUGUUUGUGACAUAAACGUCUAAAUAGAGAGGUAGAGUCUCAGCCUUCUUUCCCCCGAACCAAAAAUCAAAUGACUGGGAAAAAGUAAUGCUUACAUAUGUAUCAACCCAUUUCAUAGUAAAUUUUAUAUUUAAAUUCAUUUGUGGACAUCUUUUCACUAUUACAUGUCACAAAAUUCAUUUGUGUAAAGUCUGUGGAUAAUUUGUUUAACUUACACUAUUCAAACCAGAAAAUUGUAUACUUCUCUCUGUAUGUAAGGAAAAUCAUGUCAGACACAGAUACACAAAGGAAAUACUGAAGCACAGAAUAUUGUCAUUGGCAAAGUCAAGGAAAGAAGUUGACCAGCUGCCAAUAUUUGUGGAGAACCAGCGGAAGGGGCAAUACUCCAAAGGACACAUGGCUUAAAGUUCAGAGAUGCAGCAAUCUUUCAUGUCAGACAAAGACAAAGAAGAAAUGUUCCACCUGUUUCUUGUGCCAAAGAAGCAGCCUCAAUUUUGUUUUUGUUUUGUGUCUUGAUGGUAGAUAAGCAUUAAAAGGGCUAGUCAGUAAUAUAUUUUCUUCUGUAAGAAAUCCUGCCAGUUGAGAAAAAACGAGAUCAGAAGUCUUCUAGCAGAAGGUAGCUCAGUAACAGACUUUCACUUAGUAUCUAACGCAACACAGUAACAUCUCCACUUUCAGUUUAAAACUGCUUUCACUACCUGAUCUCUCAGUCCACUCCUGAUAUUCAAAUUUUCUGCAUAUAGCAGAACAAUGUUCACAAGGGAAGGAUGUCACAGCAUUUGUGUCAGUGGUACCAUAUAGUUCCAUGAGACAGUUUGUUUAAAUACUAAGUUAUCCAACUUUUGAAAAGUAACUAGUACGUUUAAAUUAGGUGCCUCCUUUGAGACACAAAACUGAAAAUUUGGCUCCCCCUUACUUCUUGAAUUGAAUACUCAGAAGCACCUAGUACUUCUGACAAUGAGAAUCAAAUGGAUUGAAUUAGAAAAUUAUAUUCAGAGAAUAUCUCACCAGUGGUAACACACACAGUUGAAUUUUGCAUCCAUAAGAUAAAUUAAUGAAAAUAUACACAGAGAUGAAAAAUUCUAUAUGUUAACAUUUUUUUAAUAGUUGUGUGUGUGUGUGUGUGUGUGUGUGUGUGUGUGUGUAUGCACUUGCAGCUUUCGAAUGAAACAGAAAAGAAAUCCAUCCUACAUCUCUUUGAAUGUUUUUAUCUUCUUUUGCUUUUCUUGACAAGGAUAUCCCAUGAUUCUCCUUUCAUCAUUCCUUCACCAUCUUGACAGUUCCUGAGCCACAGUGCAUCUUUGCUCUUUUCAUCACCCUGCUAACUUUGUAUUUUCCUUCAAGAUACAGUGACUUAUUUUUCCUCACAUCCCCUCAAAGAUCACACAAGUCAAAACCUGUUUGGGAUCCAUUUACUACAUUUCUAAGCCACAAGGCUGUAGAUGAACAUAGAUGAUCUGUGUGUGACCGUGUUCAGGAUAUGGACUUUGACCAUGAAUCAUUCAUCAUAUGUUCUUGCUGUUGAACAUGAUAUUCCCCAAUUAGACCACAGACAUUAAAUUAUUCAAAGAUAGCUCAGGGACUGCCCAUAAAAGAUUAUUUCAUGCAGUCAGUCAACGGAUUAUGGUAUCUUAAACUUAAUCACUACAGAGUUAAAAUAGAUGUAUAUUUAGGGCAUCUUUCUGGGGUAUCCCUUUUUAAUGAAAGAUUGCUGCACUGAAUUGCAGUUCUGAAUCCUGAGCUCUUAAUUUACAGUAUUCUAAGUUUUUCUUGUGCUACUCCACUAUGUUUUGAAGCUUGCUUUUGUUAUCAUGGCACUUAUUAUUUCAGUUUUAAUAUAAUUAUAACCUUCAGCCUAGACUUCUGCGCUGAUCAUACUUUAUCAUUUAUAACUGAUCUGCUUGAUAUGAAUGCAUUUUUAGGCAAAUAUAGGGAUAUAUUUUAUUUCUGAUAAAAAAAUGUUGCUUUUUUUUCUAAAAUAUUUGAUCAUGACAAUGACACCUCAUUAUUCUGAUCAUGACAAUGACACCUCAUUAUUCUGAUAUUCCUUAAUUUUAUACUCAUUUAAUAUAAAUACAAUCACAGAAUCUGCAAUAAAAUAUAUUUUAAAAAAAUCACCGUGUCUCCCCAAAAUGUUCUGAAUUACCAUGAUUAAGUUUCUAAUCCUCCUUCACAGAUUAUAAAUCCUUCUGCAGCACUAGAAAAGAACCUAAGUAUAAAGACAUGUUUUCACUAUUUCAAGCCCUUAUGAUGAACUCCUGCUGACUACC
ensembl:lncRNA